rnacentral:rRNA from 1 species
GAUGAACGCUAGCUGCAGGCUUAACACAUGCAAGUCGAGGGGUAGCAGGGUAGCAAUACCGCUGACGACCGUCGCACGGGUGAGUAACACGUAUCCAACCUUCCCAUAACUCGGGGAUAGCCUUUCGAAAGAACGAUUAAUACCGGAUGGUACUUUUUCAAGGCAUCUUGAGAAAGUUAAAGAUUUAUUGGUUAUGGAUGGGGAUGCGUUGCAUUAGAUAGUUGGUGAGGUAACGGAUCACCAAGUCUUCGAUGGAUAGGGGUUCUGAGAAGAAGGUGCACCACAUUGGUACUGAGACACGGACCAAACUCCUACGGGAUGGAGCAGGGAGGAAUAUUGGUCAAUGGGCGAGAGCCCGAACCAGCCAAGUAGCGUGAAGGAUGAAGGUCCUAUGGAUUGUAAACUUCUUUUAUAGUAGAAUAAAGUGAUCCACGUGUGGAUUUUUGUAUGUAUACUAUGAAUAAGGAUCGGCUAACUCCGUGCCAGCAGCCGCGGUAA